rnacentral:misc_RNA from 1 species
CCGUACUUUGGCGCACUAAUUUUGAUGCACUUAAACGAGCAAAGAAAGAGGUUCUUUUCGUUUCCACACCUCUCUCCAAUGGUGCUUUUGGAUAAUCAGGUCGAUGUGAACUCGGUGAGCUUCACUUAUCCCUUCCUGGAAGGGAUCGACCCGACUGCGCCACCGUCGACUAUAUCUAUUCCGCACAAGUACCUCGAUGCAAUGGCCAACAUGGAAAGGCAGUACUGGGACAUCAAGUCGAAACACUACAACGUCGUGAUUUUCUUCAAGAAGGGCAAAUUCUACGAGCUAUACGACUACGACGCUGUGAUUGCCAAUAGAGAAUUCGGCCUGAAAAUGGUCUUGGACACAUCUAAUCGCGGCAAAAUGAGGUUGGCUGGCGUUCCCGAACAAAGCUACAAUGAGUGGGCUCGACUUUUUGUGUAUCGCGGGUACAAGGUGGGCCGUGUUGAGCAGAUGAAAGAGACCGAGAGUGAGGCGCAAGCAGCGAAGAUGAAGGUUGUUCCGCGUGAACUGGUCGAGGUGUUGACCCCAGGCACCUUGAAAGAUCCGUCAAUGCUGUCUGAUCACCGCGAGGUCUUUGUUUUGUCGCUUGCCCCCGUCUGCAGCGACGGGGAACUCGUAAUUGACGCGUUCGCUGUUGAUCUAUCACGCCGCGUCGCGCAUUGGUGCACAUGCGGCACUGGCAACAAAGAGGCCAAAACUGGCUGUCAUGCCGUUUCUUCGGAGCUCAGUAUCAAGAGAGAAAACGGCUUUUACGGCUCUCUAAAGGACUCCACUUUGCGCGCAUUGAGCGCUCUCUUGCAACAGUUGAACCCAAAGGAGGUGAUCAUAUCAAGCAGCGAUUGGGUUUCCAAGGAUGCUGAAAGGAGGCAGGCUUUCAAGCACAUCUGCGACGAAAUCACCAAGUGGACUGAGAGCGAAGGGUUCUCGGUAGAGCACAUCUCCAGCACGGCGUUGCCAAGCCUGUCGAUGAGCGCUAUGGUGACGGCAGAGCAGGUGAUGGCGAGCUACUUCACAUUUCUUUGUCUUGCAAGCGACAUCGCUAUUUUCUCAACGGCAACGGAGUACACGGCGCACUUGUCUGGUGUGAUCGGUGCCGACUCUGGGACAGCGGCGUCGGAUACUAUGUUGGGUGGGGCAGCUAGUGGAAAGUCGUCCAUUAUGGAUUAUGAGCGCCGCUUUGACAAGGGCCUGGUGCUGGAUGCCGCCACCGUGAGCAAUUUGGAAGUGCUAACAAACUUGCAUGAUGGCUCUGACAAGCAUUCAUUGAAUGAGUGUCUAAAUCGCUGCAGCACAAACGGUGGACGUCGCCUUUUCCGCUCCUGGCUGCUGCGGCCGUCCGCCAGCUCGCGGGUCAUCGCGGCGCGCCAAGAAGCCGUGCGUUUUUUGGCGCGAUACAAUUUGCUGCACUCUUUAAGGGACAUGGAGGUUAGCGAGCAGGCCGGGGAGAAGCGAUUCCGCUCGAACGAGGGACUGUCUCUGUUCUCGUCCGUAGUGUUCGUCGACUUCGAGCGCUUCCUUUCGCGUUUGUCCGACAUAAAGCAGAAUGACUCGCAAAACAUCGCGUACGUCGAUCCCAUGGUGCAGUACAAGAAGAACCUUGGCAUCAUUCUCUCGUCUGUGCAAGCCCUAAGCGCGAUGGUAGGCUGGGGCAAGCAGUUCUUUGCACAGUGCCGCGAGGUCGCGUGCGAACAGGGGACUGACAUUCCUGCACUUUUAGGGGAGCUUCUCGAGGAAGUUACUACUGCCGAAGCCAGCAGCAAGCGCAUCGAAGGCUUGUUCGACCGCCAAGCCGCUGAGGAGAGUGGCUUGCUGAUUCCCUCGCCAGGAACGUCGAGCGCGUACGACGCGGCAACCGCGAAGCUGAGGCAUGUCGAGUCAAAGCUGCACGACGUGCGACGCCAGCUACAAGAAGAUGUGUUCCGAGGUGCGCAAGCUCAUUUUGCCGAUCUGGGGAAAGAUCUGUUCUUGAUUGAGGUUGCUGUGGCCGAUGCGCCAAAGAUGACACCCGCCGGGAUGGUUGAAAGAGCGCGGAACGCAAAGAGCGUCAAGUACGUCGUGUCUUCUAUCGAAGCCCUCGUGGAGACUCACAAGGAGGCCACCGCCAUGAAAGCCGGAGCUUUGCUUACUGUUCUGUGCAGCGUUGCGAGCCGCAUCUGUGACGAGUUUCCGCGCCUUUUUUCGGCUAGCCGGGCCCUAUCGUAUAUUGAUUGUUUACUAAGCUUGGCGCAGCUCCAUCAAGCGUUUCCCACGGUAUGCUAUCCACGGCUUUGCACGGCGCACGAGCGUGAUGUCGCCGUGGUGCGCGGGUGGGACAUGAUCCACCCCCUUCUCACAGCAAAGAACCCUGUAGCGAACAAUGUGAGCCUAGACGACGUCGAGGGACGCGUUUUGCUUCUGACUGGUCCUAAUAUGGCGGGCAAGAGCACGCUGAUGCGCACCGUUGCCAUAAACGUGCUCCUGGCACAGCUAGGCGGGCCUGUGCUGGCUACCAAGAUGGAACUCUCCCCGGUCGACCGCGUCUUCACCCGCAUUGGUGCCCGCGAUGCAUCGCACAAAGGCCAAAGUACCCUAUACGUGGAGCUCAGCGAGACCGCCGAUAUCCUGCACAGCGCAAGCGCGCGCAGCCUGUGCCUUGUCGACGAGCUUGGACGAGGGACGUCGACGCACGAUGGCAUGGCUAUUGCGCACGCCACGCUGCACGCCUUGACGACGGCCAAGCCUGCAGCGCCUCUCACUAUUUUCUCCACACACUACCACGCCCUAGCGAUUGAGCAGGCACGUACAGCAACAACCACUCCCACAGGUGCACACGCACGCGCGGUACAGCUGGGGUACAUGGAUUUUGUUCUGAAGUUUGAGACAGCGGCUGCCUUUGCGGACGAGGAGGCUAACGACAGGAGCCGCAGCUUUGCACCGGGGUCGUGCGUGUCGAAUGUGGUGUUUUUGUACCGACUGGUCCGCGGCAUCUGCGCCCGCAGCUACGGCGUAGAGGUUGCGGUGAUGGCUGGUAUCCCAAACACGUUGGUGCAGCUGGCGAAGGCAAAAUCAGAGGCGAUGUCGCGCGAGACCGCCUUCCACGAAGAUGUGCGCGCUAUCGAAAACUUCAUCCGCGUUUGAAAGGAAAGAAGGGGGCCCAGCUCACAAAAAAAAACGACAAUGCUUUCUCUCUGGUUUUCUGCUCCCUUUGCCUCAUCUGCGCGCUUUUCUUUCAUUUCAGUGAACUUGCCAUCCGCUAAGCUGCUAGCAGUGGCACAGUCCAUCAGCAAGAUGCUGCUGUUGUGAAUAUAUGCUCCGAGAAUGCCCCUCCCCUCCCUCUCUCGCCAGAUGAGCACACACGCAUUCAAGCUUCCCUACUUGCCUUGCUGACUUGGAUUUUAUUCUAUUUUACCCCCUUGAUUCAAGCCUCAGAGGAUGCCAUAGAAGUGCAGACAUAGAUGUGUUUAUCGUGCUUGCCAAUCAUCCCCGCGGGAAUCGGGUC